rnacentral:rRNA from 1 species
CUUGGUCAUUUAGAGGAAGUAAAAGUCGUAACAAGGUUUCCGUAGGUGAACCUGCGGAAGGAUCAUUAUUGAAUAAAUUUGGUUGGGUUGUGCUGGCUUUUCGGAGCAUGUGCAUGCCUAGCGCCAUUUUUACCACCUGUGCACAUUUUGUAGAUUUGAAACAACUCUCGAGGAAACUCGGUUUGAGAAAUGCUGUGUGAAAGCUUAGCUUUUCUUGUGUUUCAAGUCUAUGUUUUUAUAUACCCCAUAAGAAUGUAAUAGAAUGUCAUUAAUGGGCUUUAUUGCCUUUAAAUUAAUACAACUUUCAACAACGGAUCUCUUGGUUCUCGCAUCGAUGAAGAACGCAGCGAAAUGCGAUAAGUAAUGUGAAUUGCAGAAUUCAGUGAAUCAUCGAAUCUUUGAACGCACCUUGCGCUCCUUGGUAUUCCGAGGAGCAUGCCUGUUUGAGUGUCAUUAAAUUCUCAACCUUUCCAGCUUUUGCGAGUUGGAUUGGCUUGGAUGUGGAGGGUUUUGCAGGCUUCUCAGAAGUCAGCUCCUCUUAAAUGCAUUAGCAGAACCUUUGUGGACCAGCUUUGGUGUGAUAAUUAUCUAUGCCAUGGUUGUGAAGCAGCUUAUAUAUGGGGUUCAGCUUCUAACAGUCCAUUGACUUGGACAAUUUCUGACAUUUGACCUCAAAUCA